GAUGAACGCUGGCGGCGUGCCUAAUACAUGCAAGUCGAGCGAACAGACGAGGAGCUUGCUCCUCUCACGUUAGCGGCGGACGGGUGAAUAACACGUGUAUAACCUACCUAUAAUACUGGUAUAACUUCGGGAAACCGGAUCUAAUACCGGAUAAUAUAUUGAACCGCAUGGUUCAAUAGUGAAAUACGGUUUUUCUGUCACUUCUCGAUGGAUCCCCGCCGCAUGAGAUAGUUGUUAAGGUAACGGCUUACCACGGCAACGCGGCGUAGCCGACGGCAGAGGGUGAUCGGCGACCUGGGAACUGAGACACGGUCCAGACGCCUAAGGGAGGCAGCAGUAGGGAAUGUUCGGCAAUGGGGGAAAGUAUGACGGAGCAACGCGGAGUGAGUGAUGAAGGCCUUGGGAUCGUAAAACCCUGUUAUUAGGGAAGAACAAAUGUCUCAGUAAACAUGCACGUAUUGACGGUACCUAAUCAGAAAGCCACGGCUAACUACGUG
rnacentral:rRNA from 1 species